UACGAAGGGUGCAAACGUUGCUCGGAAUCAUUGGGCGUAAAGCGCACGUAGGCGGCUUCGCAAGUCGGAUGUGAAAUCCCAUGGCUCAACCAUGGACGUGCAUUCGAAACUGCGAAGCUUGAGUAUGGAAGAGGGUCGCGGAAUUCCCGGUGUAGAGGUGAAAUUCGUAGAUAUCUGGAGGAACACCGGUGGCGAAGGCGGCGUUCUGGACUGCAACUGACACUGAGAAACGAAAGCCAGGGGAGCAAACGGG
rnacentral:rRNA from 1 species